UCUAAUUAGGUGACUUCUAAUUCUUAAUUUGAUUAGAUUUUAAUCUAAAUAGUUUAGACUCCUAAUCAGAUUAGGAUUUAAUCUAUUUGAGUCUAAUCAAUUUCUAAUAUGAUUAGAAUUGGUUAAAGUUUUAUUAGGUUUACAUCAGCCACCUAAAGAAGAGUCCUAAAGUGUUAGAACUCUCCCUCUCCAUGCGCCAUAAGAAGACCAUGCCCACUUAGAUUUUGGAUGCCACAAAAUGUCCCACACCCCAC
rnacentral:lncRNA from 1 species